rnacentral:rRNA from 1 species
UACGAAGGGGGCUAGCGUUGUUCGGAAUCACUGGGCGUAAAGGGCGCGUAGGCGGCCGAUCAAGUCGGGGGGUGAAAGCCUGUGGCUCAACCACAGAAUUGCCUUCGAUACUGGUUGGCUUGAGACCGGAAGAGGUAAGUGGAACUGCGAGUGUAGAGGUGAAAUUCGUAGAUAUUCGCAAGAACACCAGUGGCGAAGGCGGCUCACUGGACUGGUAUUGACGCUGAGGUGCGAAAGCGUGGGGAGCAAACAGG